rnacentral:rRNA from 1 species
UUAUCCGGAUUUAUUGGGCGUAAAGGGCUCGUAGGCGGCUCGUCGCGUCCGGUGUGAAAGUCCAUCGCUUAACGGUGGAUCUGCGCCGGGUACGGGCGGGCUGGAGUGCGGUAGGGGAGACUGGAAUUCCCGGUGUAACGGUGGAAUGUGUAGAUAUCGGGAAGAACACCGAUGGCGAAGGCAGGUCUCUGGGCCGUCACUGACGCUGAGGAGCGAAAGCGUGGGGAGCGAACAGGAUUAGAUACCCUGGUAGUCCACGCCGUAAACGGUGGACGCUGGAUGUGGGGCACGUUCCACGUGUUCCGUGUCGGAGCUAACGCGUUAAGCGUCCCGCCUGGGGAGUACGGCCGCAAGGCUAAAACUCAAAGAAAUUGACGGGGGCCCGCACAAGCGGCGGAGCAUGCGGAUUAAUUCGAUGCAACGCGAAGAACCUUACCUGGGCUUGACAUGUUCCCGACGACGCCAGAGAUGGCGUUUCCCUUCGGGGCGGGUU